GACGAACGCUGGCGGCGUGCUUAACACAUGCAAGUCGAACGGUGAAGCGCCUCCCUUUUCGGUGGGUGCGGACGAGUGGGGAACGGGUGAGUAACACGCCCGUAACCUGCCCCUUACUCCCGGAUAACCGCACUAAUGUGUGGCUAAUACGGGAUAUUCUGGGUCUGUCGCUUGAUGGGUCUGGGAAAGAUAUUGUUCCGGUGGGGGAUGGGCUCGCGGCCUGUCAGCUUGUGGGCGGGGUGAACGCCUACCAAGGCGGUGGCGGGUGGCCGGCGUGGGAGGGUGGCCGGUCACACUGGGAGUGAGACCCCGCCCGGACUCCUACGGGGGGCAGCAGUGUGGAGUAUUGCACAGUGGGCGCAAGCCUGAUGCAGCGGCGCCGCGUGAGGGAUGGAGGCCUUCGGGUGGUGAACCUCUUUCGCCAGUGAGGCAGGUCCGCCUCGUUUGUGGGGGGGUUGACGGUAGCUGGAGAAGAAGCGCCGGCUAACUACGUG
rnacentral:rRNA from 1 species